GAUGAACGCUGGCGGCGUGCCUAAUACAUGCAAGUCGAGCGAACAGACGAGGAGCUUGCUCCUCUGACGUUAGCGGCGGACGGGUGAGUAACACGUGGAUAACCUACCUAUAAGACUGGGAUAACUUCGGGAAACCGGAGCUAAUACCGGAUAAUAUAUUGAACCGCAUGGUUCAAUAGUGAAAGACGGUUUUGCUGUCACUUAUAGAUGGAUCCGCGCCGCAUUAGCUAGUUGGUAAGGUAACGGCUUACCAAGGCAACGAUGCGUAGCCGACCUGAGAGGGGGAUCGGCCACACUGGAACUGAGACACGGUCCAGACUCCUACGGGAGGCAGAGGUAGGGAAUCUUCCGCAAUGGGCGAAAGCUUGACGGAGCAACGCCGCGUGAGUGAUGAAGGUCUUCGGAUCGUAAAACUCUGUUAUUAGGGAAGAACAAAUGUGUAAGUAACUAUGCACGUCUUGACGGUACCUAAGCAGAAAACCACGGCUAACUACGU
rnacentral:rRNA from 1 species